rnacentral:rRNA from 1 species
UGGGGAAUCUUCCGCAAUGGACGAAAGUCUGACGGAGCAACGCCGCGUGAGUGAAGACGGCCUUCGGGUUGUAAAGCUCUGUGAUCCGGGACGAAAGAGCCUGAGGUAAAUAGCCUAAGGAAGUGACGGUACCGGAAAAGCAAGCCACGGCUAACUACGUGCCAGCAGCCGCGGUAAUACGUAGGCGGCAAGCGUUGUCCGGAAUUAUUGGGCGUAAAGCGCGCGCAGGCGGCUUCCUAAGUCCAUCUUAAAAGUGCGGGGCUUAACCCCGUGAUGGGAUGGAAACUGGGAAGCUGGAGUAUCGGAGAGGAAAGUGGAAUUCCUAGUGUAGCGGUGAAAUGCGUAGAGAUUAGGAAGAACACCGGUGGCGAAGGCGACUUUCUGGACGAAAACUGACGCUGAGGCGCGAAAGCGUGGGGAGCAAACAGG